UAGUUGAGUCUCCAGACUGAGACGGCCAGCAGGAUGUGUAGGGUGGUGAAGCCUAAGAUGGAGGAGAUGUUGCCCUACAUGCUCCAGAGUAGCGGAGCGGGGACACAGAGAGAACGGCAGACCAGGGUUCACGACCACCUGUUUCCCAUAUUGCUCCUUCAGAAGUACCAUGUGCCUGCAACGGUAUCGGGGUUGGCAGCGACUCCACAGUACCCAAGGCCAGGCAGCCUGCGCCUCCAUCUCAGCAUUGGAGAUCCGGGACCCGCCAUGCCCCUUAAUCCCAAGCGUAUAGAGGAGGAAACCCCUUCCUCCUGGCUACCAUCCCUGCUCAUCUGAAACUCACGGGGGUUCCAAAUUCCAAGAGUGGAAGAGAAAGACUACAAUUCAGCUGUCCUUUCCUGCCGCCGAAGCUGACUCUCUGGAAGAGACCCCGUGCUCUCUCAUUUACAAAAUCCAGCUCACCCUCCCUGAGCAGAGAAGUUGCAAGAAUUAAAGAGGGUAAAAGAAAAGAGGCCAGGGAUCAGCACCUGGGAGAUGAUUCUUCUUUGUUCCCUCAUCUAAAAAUAAGACGAUACUUUUCACGAUGAGAUAUGCCAUUUUGGCGUAAGGCAUGGUCUGUCAGGAACAAACCAAGCAGGACACUGUCCCCUUGUUAGAAUUUCAGUCUACACCUACUACAUUCUGGGAACAUCUAGCAUGGACCAAUGUUAAUCAAAAUGACUGAGUAUGUCAUCCCUACAACAUCCAAGCCUGUUCUGGAAAAAGACUAGAUUACACAAAAAGUCUGCCAUUUACAGCAACUGACUAGGUAGUCACAGGUGUGCUCACAUUACCAGUGUUACAUAGAUUUCAAAAGUAUAUAAGCAAACACAAAGCCAAAUGAAGCUUCAGUACUCAAAGUUCCCUUUGAGAAUU